AAACUACUAUUUUUACGAAAUAAAAACUCAACCAGAAUGUUCAUGCAGAUGCCAUUUAAUAUUUUUUAAGCACUGAAAUUGCUGGGCAGAUGAAGCAGAGGGAGCUGACAGCUCUCCGCUCCCGGCAGCCUCAGGGCCCAGGGCUCUGGCACGGCUUACAGUGCACGGGACCUCUUGGUGCAGCUCUGGUUGCUGCCUUGUUCUUCUUUGCAAGCUGUUGACCGAAAUAGUCUGACUUUUUCUUGAAUCUCAGUCAGGAUGCCAAUUUUUUGACUCAGGAAUGAUUCAAACUUCAGAGCAUAUAGAUCUACAUUCCUGUCUACUCCUUCAGCCACCUCUGUGAAUGCUUUCAACCACUGCAGAGAUUUCUGAUGCUUCUCUGGAAGUAUUUUCUCAUUUAUCUCUUUUCUCUUUUUCAGGGUUUUUCCCCCGGCAUUUGAAGUGCAUGCCUUGAACAACAUUUCCUUAUAUCUCUGCUGUGGUAACCUGGACAUGAUCUGAACAGGUGGUUCAAGGGAAUUUAAAUCCACAACCAGCUCCUUCACACGGUUGGCAUACCGCAGGGUGUUAAGGGUGUGCUCGCAGGAUCUCAUUCCUGGAGAGAUGGUGGCAAUCAUGCAGGUAUAUGAGUUUUCCCCUAUAAGAGAGUCCCUCAGGACCUGGGUCAGUUUGCUAGUCCUGAAUGGGGUAUGGGCUUUGUUACGCCCCAGUGCCCUGAUACACUCCUUGAGUGCCAAGAGGCUUUUAUUAAUGUCAGCCCCCUCCAGCCUCGUGCGCUUGUCUGCAGUUGUAUUGUCAGCUCCUCUCUCAUUCCCAGCCAAAUCAAUUAGGGAAAAUUUGGCAUACAAAUGCCCUCUCUUCUUGAGUAUGAUCUGGUGACCUCUUCCUCCCACAGGCCUACCACCUGGGUCUGCUUUUUACCAUUUUCUAGCACCCUCAGCCUCUUCUUCCUGUUCAGCAGGUCAAACACUUUGCCCCUAUAAAUCUCAAAGAAGGCCCCGUAGACCGAAAGGUCCAGUUUCUGGUAAUUAGGGUACUGCAGUCUGCGGAAGACAUCCUCAGCAACCAAGAUGUAGAUUCCUACGCUA
rnacentral:lncRNA from 1 species